AUUGAACGCUGGCGGCAGGCCUCACACAUGCAAGUCGAACGAUUGGCGGACGGGUGAGUAAUGUCUGGGAAACUGCCUGAUGGAGGGGGAUAACUACUGGAAACGGUAGCUAAUACCGCAUACCAUCGGAUGUGCCCAGAUGGGAUUAGCUAGUAGGUGGGGUAAAGGCUCACCUAGGCGACGAUCCCUAGCUGGUCUGAGAGGAUGACAAGCCACACGGGAACGGAGAAACGGUCCAGACACCGACGGGAGGCAGCAGUGGGGAAUAUUGCACAAUGGGCGCAAGCCUGAUGCAGCCAUGCCGCGGGUAUGAAGAAGGCCUUCGGGUUGUAAAGUACGUUCAGCGGGGAGGCGUUACCCGCAGAAGAAGCACCGGCUAACUCCGUGCCAGCAGCCGCGGUAAUUC
rnacentral:rRNA from 1 species